rnacentral:misc_RNA from 1 species
GUAGGUGAACCUGCGGAAGGAUCAUUAAAGAAAUAAUGAGACGCAUGAAUAGUGUUUUAUGUAGCUGGGUUUUUGAAGCCUUUUUAUAAAGGGUAGAUAAAGCAAAUUGUGCUCAAAUGCCUUUCAUGUUGUUUCUUCUUUACUUUCCAAACCCCCCUUUGUGAACCUUUUGCGUAAGCUAGUAUAGUGGUUGUAAUACUGCCACUUGAACACUUGCGUCUUUUAAAUUACUCUUAAAAAAGUGUAUGGA